CCUACGGGGGGCUGCAGUGGGGAAUAUUGCGCAAUGGGCGAAAGCCUGACGCAGCGACGCCGCGUGCGGGACGAAGGCCUUCGGGUCGUAAACCGCUUUCAGCAGGGACGAGGCCGCGAGGUGACGGUACCUGCAGAAGAAGCCCCGGCUAACUACGUGCCAGCAGCCGCGGUAAUACGUAGGGGGCGAGCGUUAUCCGGAUUCAUUGGGCGUAAAGCGCUCGUAGGCGGUCCGUCUGGUCGGGUGUCAAAUCCGGGGGCUCAACCCCCGUUCGCAUCCGAUACCGGCGGACUUGAGUUUGGUAGGGGAAGGCGGAAUUCCAAGUGUAGCGGUGGAAUGCGCAGAUAUUUGGAAGAACACCGGUGGCGAAGGCGGCCUUCUGGGCCACAACUGACGCUGAGGAGCGAAAGCUAGGGGAGCGAACAGGAUUAGAUACCCCUGUAGUC
rnacentral:rRNA from 1 species